UACGGAGGGUGCGAGCGUUGUCCGGAAUCACUGGGCGUAAAGGGCGCGUAGGCGGCCUGAUAAGUAGGGGGUGAAAUCCUGCGGCUUAACCGCAGGGCUGCCUUCUAAACUGUCAGGCUAGAGCACGGUAGAGGCAGAUGGAAUUCCCGGUGUAGCAGUGGAAUGCGUAGAGAUCGGGAAGAACAUCAGUGGCGAAGGCGGCCUGCUGGGCUGUUGCUGACGCUGAGGCGCGACAGCGUGGGGAGCAAACAGG
rnacentral:rRNA from 1 species